AUGGCCAACUGUUGGAUUCUUUUUCUCCUUCUCGUGGCCUCAGACAAGGGGAUCCCUUAUCUGUUCUUGUUUGUGGGAGAGACCUUAUCGUUAUUGUUUAAGAAUGUGUGUGAUAAUGGAACCCUUCAGAAUUUUCAUCUCAACAGGCAGGCACCAGGUAUAUCCCAUAUGUUCUUCGCUGACGACUGUCUCCUCUUCUUUAAGGGGACCAUUGAUCAAACUUUGGCGAUUAAAAACAUUCUGAAUAUUUAUGAAGAGGGAACAUGUCAGUUGUUGAGUUCUGACAAGUGCUCCAUUCUGUUUGGGAAGAGUUGUACUCUGGAAAAUCAAGUAUCCACUAUGGUUAUUUUAAAAAUUACGACUGACGGUUUCGAUGACAAAUAUUUGGGCUUACUAGUUCCAGAAGGAAGAAUGAAGGUGGGUAAGUUUCAAUCAACCAAAGACAAAGCUCUAAAAAGGCUUUCUGAUUGGAUUGAAAAAUAUGCUUCUAGUGGGGUGAAGGAAAUCUAG
rnacentral:rRNA from 1 species